CCGCUCGCUUCCGAAGCUUCUCGACCCCUCCGCCGCCGCCGCCGCCGCCUCUCCCUCCCUCUCCACCGCCGCCGCCGCAGGGUCGCAGGAACGAUGAGCCGGCGCAACAGCUGCACCAUCUACGUGGGCAAUCUCCCCGGCGACAUCCGCGAGAGGGAGGUGGAGGAUCUCUUCUAUAAGUAUGGCCGUAUUGUGGAUAUUGAUUUGAAAAUUCCUCCAAGGCCUCCUGGUUAUGCUUUUGUUGAGUUUGAAGACCCCCGUGAUGCGCAGGAUGCAAUUCAUGGCCGUGAUGCAUAUGACUUUGAUGGCCACAGGUUGCGGGUGGAGUUAGCUCAUGGUGGCAGAGGCCCUUCUUUUGAUCGGUCAAGCAACAAUAGCAGUGCUGGGCGCCGUGGUGCCUCUAGACGUACUGAUUACCGUGUUAUGGUUACUGGAUUACCUUCGUCAGCAUCAUGGCAAGAUCUCAAGGAUCAUAUGAGGCGAGCUGGUGAUGUCUGUUUCUCUGAUGUUUAUCGUGAGGGUGGAGCAACUGUUGGAAUUGUUGAUUAUACCAACUAUGAGGAUAUGAAACAAGCAAUACGAAAGCUUGAUGACUCAGAGUUCCGUAAUGCAUUUUCACGGGCAUAUGUCAGGGUCAAGGAGUACAAUUCUACUAAGCGCAGCCGCUCUUGCUCCAGAAGCCGAAGCCACAGCCGCUCUAUCUCAAGAAGCAGAAGCCGAAGCCGCUCUAUCUCCAGAAGCAGAAGCCGUAGUUAUAGCAGAAGCAGGAGUCCAAGAUCUAGGUCUGUUUCUCGGUCUCGUUCACCAGUGAAAGAAAGUUUGAUGUUCUUCGCUUCCAGAUCUAAGUCUGUUUCACGGUCUCCCUCACCUGCGAAAGAAAGAUUUGGGACAUGCAGCGAUCUGGGUUGCAUUGGUAGGAUAUUGGAUGCUUUGAGAACCAGACGAUGGUUUGGAACGUUGGAUAGUUCUGCUGGCUAGUGACAUACUGUAUGACAAGUGGACUACAACCAGCAAUAGGAUUUAUGGAGCAAAGAUAGGGCUGGCGCUAAACAUAUAUGGACUUAUGGAGUGCAUUUCGUGGUAUAAUCGAAAUACUAUGACUUACACAUUUCUGUUCUCAAAUGUAAACUUGGCCAUGCACCCCUAUUCUCAAAUAUAGACCUCACCUUAAUGUUAGAGUUUAUUUCUAAAGUACUUUUCAAUGAAAUAAGUGUGUUCAGCGAAUAGCUAGAACUGAAGUGUGUGAUCCAUCGUGGCUUCGUCUUCAUUUGGAAGAUUCGUGAUUUCCUCUUUCUAAAACAACAUUUACUUUUAAGGUCUGUCAAUAGUAUUUCAAAAGAUAACAUGCACAUUGGAAAAAGGUGAGCUCUUUACCUGUGCUCAUCCAAAACACUCCUCCCUAGCUUUAAUGUUUGCUGCUCUCAUGUGUGUUGAUGUUACCAUAUUCACCUAUGUUUGGAUCAAACUCUUGUAAUAGAGCAUUGCUUGCUAACAAUUUCAUCUUUUUUGGAACAUUUCGCAAAUCACCAUCAAGAUCCCCAUCCCCUGCUACUUCUCCUCAGCCUCCCCGCGAGAAGUCUGCAAGCAGGAGCCCUGUCAAGAGCAGAAGUUUAU